UGCGCGUGCGCGGUGGACACGGUCAUCUGUGGACGUGCGCGUGCGCAGCGGACCCGUCGUGUGUCCUUCCUUAACCUGAUGGACGUUAGCAUUAUUCCCACGUUCUGGCUGCCGUGAACGCUAUGUCCAGUAUUUACCGGGAUGUGUGUGCACUUUCCUGGGGUGGACGCUCAGGAGUGGAGUCACUGGGUCAUAUGAUGAGUCCAUGUUGAGCUUUUUGAGGACCUGCUGACCGUUGUCCACAGCAGCCCCCCAUCUCACCUCCCUCCAGCUGUGGAUGAGGGUUCCUGGUUGGGACAACAUGAUCAGCCUGCAGGCCAAGUCCCCCGUGGACGAGGAAUGCGUUACCAAGAUGACAGAGAGGAUCCUGAGGUUCCAGGUCUGGACUCAGCCACGUGGCUCCUGGCUCCUGUGAGCUGCGGUCCCUCAUCUGUAAAGUGGGGACAAUGGGAAAUAGUCUGGAGUUUCCUCAAAAGUUAUGAGUUGUCACGUGACCCAACACUUCCACUCGGAGGCCCCGAAGCAUUGAACACAUACCUUGAGACAAACCCUUGUGCACCUGUGUUUGCUGCAGCAGGUGUCCAGGAAAACCCGGGCGUCCGUCAGUACGGACCAUCAAGUACGUGCUCAUUGUCAUUUGGGUGUCUGUCUUCAGGAACUUCCAGUUCAAAUUUUUGGCCCAUUUUCUUAAAUUAGGUUGUUUGAGUUUUGUCA